CCCUUAGAUGUUCUGGCCCGCACGCGUGCUACACUGAGUGGAUCAGCGGGUCAGGUUGCGCGAAAGCGUUUCCUAAUCUUUAAAUCCGCUCGUGAUGGGGAUUGACGGUUGCAAUUUUCUGUCAUGAACGAGGAAUACCUUGUAAGCGCGGGUCAUCAUCCCGCGCUGAAUACGUCCCUGCCCUUUGUACACACCGCCCGUCGCUCCUACCGAUUGAGUGGUCCGGUGAGGCUUUGGGAUCUGAGCGGAAAGAGCGUUUCGCUGUUUCUGCUCGGAAAACUCAGUCGAACCUUAUCAUUUAGAGGAAGGAGAAGUCGUAACA
rnacentral:rRNA from 1 species